UGUUAAUAAUUUAUAUAAAAUAUUUUGAUGAAUAUUUAUAUAAUAUUAACAUAAUUCAUAUUACUAUUUUUUUUUUUAGUAUAUGAAAUUUUACUUUGAGAAAAUUAGAGUGCUUAAAGCAGGCAUAUGCCUUGAAUACUCCAGCAUGGAAUAAUAUUAAAGAUUUUUAUCUUUUUUAUUGGUUCUAAGAUAAGAAUAAUGAUUAAUAGGGACAGUUGGGGGCAUUUGUAUUUAACAGUCAGAGGUGAAAUUCUUAGAUUUGUUAAAGACAAACUAAUGCGAAAGCAUUUGCCAAGGAUGUUUUCAUUAAUCAAGAACGAAAGWUAGGGGAUCGAAGACGAUCAGAUACCGYCGUAGUCUUAACCAUAAACUAUGCCAACUAGAGAUUGGAGGUUGUU
rnacentral:rRNA from 1 species